rnacentral:rRNA from 1 species
AGCGAACGCUGGCGGCAGGCCUAACACAUGCAAGUCGAACGAACCUUUCGGGGUUAGUGGCGGACGGGUGAGUAACACGUGGGAACGUGCCUUUAGGUUCGGAAUAACUCAGGGAAACUUGUGCUAAUACCGAAUGUGCCCUUCGGGGGAAAGAUUAAUCGCCUUUAGAGCGGCCCGCGUCCGAUUAGCUAGUUGGUUGAGGUAAUGGCUCACCAAGGCGACGAUCAGUAGCUGGUCUGAGAGGAUGAUCAGCCACAUUGGGACUGAGACACGGCCGAAACUCCUACGGGAGGCAGCAGUGGGGAAUCUUGCGCAAUGGGCGAAAGCCUGACGCAGCCAUGCCGCGUGAAUGAUGAAGGUCUUAGGAUUGUAAAAUUCUUUCACCGGGGACGAUAAUGACGGUACCCGGAGAAGAAGCCCCGGCUAACUUCGUG